AUAAUUUACCCAAAUAUGAUCGGUCAAAUACAAAUGUAUGCAACCGUACAACUAGCUGAAACUGUAUUACAACAGUUGGCGCAUGAGUUACAAAAUGUUGAAAUGGAUACACCAAGCUAUUCGCCGGUCAGCAAUAUAUUCAGCACGUGAUGGAUUUAAUCAGCCUAAGGAUGAUAUUUUAGCUAAGGUAAUUUAUAUAUAAACAUAUUU